UAGGAACCAGUUCACAUAGGCUAAGCAG
rnacentral:piRNA from 1 species